UCAUGGCUCAGAACGAACGCUGGCGGCAUGCCUAACACAUGCAAGUCGGACGAUAAGCCAUCUUCGGAUGGUGGACAGUGGCCGUGGGAAUCUACCUUAUAGUGGGGGAUAGCCCGGAGAAAUCUGGAUUAAUACCGCAUAAUCUCUACGGAGGAAAAGGGGCCUCUCCUUGGAAGCUCUUGCUAUUAGAUGAGCCCGCGUUAGAUUAGCUAGUUGGUGAGGUAAUGGCUCACCAAGGCAACGAUCUAUAGCUGGUUUGAGAGGAUGAUCAGCCACACUGGGACUGAGACACGGCCCAGACUCCUACGGGAGGCAGCAGUGGGGAAUAUUGGACAAUGGGCGCAAGCCUGAUCCAGCAAUACCGCGUGUGUGAAGAAGGCCUGAGGGUUGUAAAGCACUUUCAAUAGGGACGAAAUGUUUGAGGUUAAUAGAAGAAGCACCGGAUAACUCCGUGCCAGCAGCCGCGGUAAUACGGAGGGUGCAAGCGUUAAUCGGAAUUACUGGGCGUAAAGCGCUCGUAGGCGGCUUGUUAAGUCGGAUGUGAAAGCCCCGGGCUCAACCUGGGAACUGCAUUCGAUACUGGCAGGCUAGAGUAUAGAAGAGGCAAGUGGAAUUCCAGGUGUAGCGGUGAAAUGCGUAGAUAUCUGGAGGAACAUCAGUGGCGAAGGCGACUUGCUGGUCUAAUACUGACGCUGAGGAGCGAAAGCGUGGGGAGCAAACGGGAUUAGAUACCCCGGUAGUCCACGCCGUAAACGAUGUCAACUAGCCGUUGGGGGUCUUAGUAUCUUAGUGUCGCAGCUAACGCGUUAAGUUGACCGCCUGGGGAGUACGGCCGCAAGGUUGAAACUCAAAGGAAUUGACGGGGGCCCGCACAAGCGGUGGAGCAUGUGGUUUAAUUCGAUGCAACGCGAAGAACCUUACCAGCCCUUGACAUCCUGGGAACUUUGUAGAGAUACAUCGGUGCCUUCGGGAAUCCAGUGACAGGUGCUGCAUGGCUGUCGUUAGCUCGUGUCGUGAGAUGUUGGGUUAAGUCCCGCAACGAGCGCAACCCUUAUCCUUAGUUGCCAGCAUUAUGGUGGGAACUCUAAGGAGACUGCCGGUGAUAAACCGGAGGAAGGUGGGGAUGACGUCAAGUCAUCAUGACCCUUAUGGGCUGGGCUACACACGUGCUACAAUGGUCGGCACAGAGGGUCGCGAACCCGCGAGGGGAAGCCCAAUCCCACAAAGCCGAUCUUAGUCCGGAUCGCAGUCUGCAACUCGACUGCGUGAAGUCGGAAUCGCUAGUAAUCGCGAAUCAGCAAUGUCGCGGUGAAUACGUUCCCGGGCCUUGUACACACCGCCCGUCACACCAUGGGAGUGGGUUGCACCAGAAGUAGUUAGCUUAACCUUAGGGAGGGCGAUUACCACGGUGUGAUUCAUGACUGGGGUGAAGUCGUAACAAGGUAGCCGUA
rnacentral:rRNA from 1 species